UACAGAGGAGCCAAGCGUUGUCCGGAUUGACUGGGCGUAAAGCGCACGCAGGCGGUUUGGCGCGUGGGGUGUGAAAUCUGGCCGCUUAACGGCCAGGCGCCAUCCCAUACGGCGAAACUGGAGUGAUGCAGAGGUCGAUGGAAUUGCCGGUGUAGUGGUGAAAUGCGUAGAUAUCGUAAGGAAGACCAGUGGCGAAGGCGGGUCUCUGGACAGUUCCUGACGCUGAGGCACGAAGGUCAGGGGAGCAAACGGG
rnacentral:rRNA from 1 species